GGGUCAGUAGGUUGGUCGUGCCACCGGUACGUACUGGUCUCACUGAUUCCUCCUUCCUGAAGAACCGUAAUGCCAUUAAUUUGGUGUUGCGGGGAAACAGGACUGUUACUUUGAAAAAAUUAGAGUGUUUAAAGCAAGCUAACGCUUGAAUGCAUUAGCAUGGAAUAAAGAAAUAGGACGAUCGAUCCUAUUUUGUUGGUUUCUAGGAUUGACGUA
rnacentral:rRNA from 1 species